rnacentral:rRNA from 1 species
UACGUAGGGUGCAAGCGUUGUCCGGAAUUAUUGGGCGUAAAGAGCUCGUAGGCGGUCUGUUACGUCGGCUGUGAAAACCUGGGGCUCAACCCCGGGCCUGCAACCGAUACGGGCAGACUAGAAUUCGGUAGGGGAGACUGGAAUUCCUGGUGUAGCGGUGGAAUGCGCAGAUAUCAGGAGGAACACCAGUGGCGAAGGCGACUACCUGGCCUGUUUUUGACGCUGAGGCGCGAAAGCUAGGGGAGCAAACGGG